GACCCGGUGGUGAAAUGACUCACAUCCGCUUCGUUUGGAACGCGGAGAGGGAGGAAUAUACUUAAGCGGAAGUCACCCGUUCAACUCGGGUCCGGGUCC